rnacentral:lncRNA from 1 species
CGGUACUCAAAAUAUCUGGAGUACAGCUAUAUAUACAAGUGCCAUUGGGUCGGGUCAGACGACCCAAUGAAGGUAAUGAAAAAUGGGACUCAGUAGAGGAAGAGACGACCCAAUGAAGGUAAUGAAAAAUGGGGCUCAGAUAUAAAAUUGGGCUCGGUAUACAUUUGGCCCAAACAACAAGUAAUCAUCACAGCCCAAGCAUUGUAUACCAGAUGAUACAAUAAAUAUACAGUGUAUAUAUAGCGUAUAUAAUCAUGUAAUCUUCUUCAUCUCAACACCCCCCCUCAAGUUGGAGGGGGAAACCACCUGCAACUUGGUGAGCAGCGGAAGAAGCAUAGUGCCGGGCAGUGGCUUAGUGAGCAAGUCGGCCAACUGACGAGAGGUAGGCACAUGAAGCAGCUUGAGAAAACCAGAGUGCAGCAAGUCCCGAACAAAAUGGCAGUCCACCUCGAUAUGUUUGGUACGUUCAUGAAAAACAGGAUUGUUAGCAAUAUGAACGGCAGCCUGACUAUCAUAAUAUACAGAAAUAGGAGAAGAAACAGAUACCCCAAGGUCAACCAACAAACGAGAAAGCCAAGUCUACUCAGCAAAAUCAAUAUACAGAAAUAGGAGAAGAAACAUAUACCCCAAGGUCAACCAACAAACGAGAAAACCAAGUCAAACUCAGCAACAACCUUGCUAAGGGCUCUAUAUUCAGCCUCAACAGAGGAGAGAGAAACAACAGGCUUUUUCUUGGAUUUCCAACUGAUCAAACAGCCACCCAAAAGCACACAAAAACCAGUAACAGAUCGCCUAGUAUCAGGGCAAGCAGCCCAGUCACUAUCACAAUACCCAGUAACAGAAAAAUCAGCAUGAGCAGAAUAAAACAGACCCAAGGAGGGAGUGCCCUUAAGGUAUCUCAGAACAUGCAGGGCAGCAGUCAUAUGGGGAAGUCUGGGGCAUUUGAGGAAUUGACUCAGAUGCUGGACUNNNNNNNNNNNNNNNNNNNACCAACUCAACCCCAAAAGCUAGCUUAUGAGGUGAGGAUUGGCCAAGCCAUAUAAGGAGACCAAAGAUCUCGAAUCCCUCCGAUGUGGGACAACUCAACACCCCCCAUCACGCCCAGAUCUCUGGAGCGUGGACA